UACGGAGGGUGCGAGCGUUAAUCGGAAUUACUGGGCGUAAAGGGCGCGUAGGUGGCUAUAUUAGUCGGGUGUGAAAGCCCCGGGCUUAACUCGGGAAUUGCAUUCGAUACUGUCUAGCUAGAGUGCAGUAGAGGGAAGCGGAAUUCCGGGUGUAGCGGUGAAAUGCGUAGAUAUCCGGAGGAACACCAGUGGCGAAGGCGGCUUCCUGGACUGACACUGACACUGAGGCGCGAAAGCGUGGGGAGCAAACAGG
rnacentral:rRNA from 1 species